rnacentral:rRNA from 1 species
GACAAACGCUGGGGCGCGCUUAACACGUGCAAGUCGAACGAUGAAGCCCAGCUUGCUGGGUGGAAGAGUGGCGAACGGGUGAGUAACACGUGAGUAACCUGCCUUUCACUCUGGGAUAAGCGCUGGAAACGGUGUCUAAUACUGGAUACGACCCUUACAGGCAUCUGUUGGGGGUGGAAAGAUUUAUCGGUGAGGGAUGGGCUCGCGGCCUAUCAGGUAGUUGGUGAGGUAACGGCUCACCAAGCCGACGACGGGUAGCCGGCCUGAGAGGGUGACCGGCCACACGGGGACUGAGACACGGACCAGACUCCUACGGGAGGCAGCAGUGGGGAAUAUUGCACAAUGGGCGAAAGCCUGAUGCAGCAACGCCGCGUGAGGGAUGACGGCCUUAGGGUUGUAAACCUCUUUUAGUAGGGAAGAAGCGUAAGUGACGGUACCUGCAGAAAAAGCACCGGCUAACUACGUGCCAGCCGCCGCCGUAA